rnacentral:rRNA from 1 species
AUUGAACGCUGGCGGCAUGCUUUACACAUGCAAGUCGAACGGUAACAGGUUAAGCUGACGAGUGGCGAACGGGUGAGUAAUGCAUCGGAACGUGCCCGAUCGUGGGGGAUAACGCAGCGAAAGCUGCGCUAAUACCGCAUACGAUCUGAGGAUGAAAGCGGGGGACCGUAAGGCCUCGCGCGAUCGGAGCGGCCGAUGUCAGAUUAGGUAGUUGGUGGGGUAAAGGCUCACCAAGCCAACGAUCUGUAGCUGGUCUGAGAGGACGACCAGCAACACUGGGACUGAGGCACGGCCCAGACUCCUACGGGAGGCAGCAGUGGGGAAUUUUGAACAAGGGGCGAAAGCCUGAUCCAGCAAUGCCGCGUGCAGGAAGAAGGCCUUCGGGUUGUAAACUGCUUUUGUACGGAGCGAAAAGGUUCUCUCUAAUACAGAGGGCUCAUGACGGUACCGUAAGAAUAAGCACCGGCUAACUACGUGCCAGCCGCCGCCGUAA